AGGCAACGGCUGAGGCGGCGGCGGCGGCGGCGGCGUGGGUUGGGCUCGAGCGGGCGGCGGCGCCUCAGACUCCCCGGAACGGGAGCCCACGCGGGCGGGCGCCUGAAACAAAGGGAAGCGGGCGUCCGGGCGCCGCGGGUGGGCGGUCAGUCGGUCAGCGCGGAGCCAGCCAGCGGGUGCCCGCGCAAGCCCCGAGCGCGGCCGGCCGGCGCGGCCUCAGGGCGGGAAGAUGCCGCGCGUCGUGCCCGACCAGAGAAGCAAGUUCGAGAACGAGGAGUUUUUUAGGAAGCUGAGCCGCGAGUGUGAGAUUAAGUACACGGGCUUCAGGGACCGGCCCCACGAGGAACGCCAGGCGCGCUUCCAGAACGCCUGCCGCGACGGCCGCUCGGAAAUCGUAAGUCGGCUGGCCCGGGGCGCGCGCGGGUCACUUGUUGCGCGGGGCCGCGGCGGCCCAGGCCGGUUCCGGACGGCGGCGCGGCUGCUGCGGCUCCCGGAACUGAGUGGGCGCCGUCUCACUUCCUACUCGGGAUUCAAAAUGCGAAACCAGAUGCCGCGGGCCGGUGCUCGCGGGGAGACGCUUUUCUUGGGGCUCGCCGCGGUGGCGCGUGUCGGCCAACGGAGCACCGCGAGUGGAGCUCGAACCCGAGCCAGACUAAACAAGCGAAGGGCAUUGUUUAGGCGGCGACACCGAAGAAGGGUUCAGGGUAUUUGUAGCAAGCAAACCCCCAUUCGGAAAAAGAAGUGGAGCUUCAUUCAAGGCUUUUGUGGCCACAGGAACCAAUCUGUCUCUCCAGUUUUUUCCGGCCAGCUGGCAGGGAGAACAGCGACAAACACCUAGCCGAGAGUAUGUCGACUUAGAAAGAGAAGCAGGCAAGGUAUAUUUGAAGGCUCCCAUGAUUCUGAAUGGAGUCUGUGUUAUCUGGAAAGGCUGGAUUGAUCUCCAAAGACUGGAUGGUAUGGGCUGUCUGGAGUUUGAUGAGGAGCGAGCCCAGCAGGAGGAUGCAUUAGCACAACAGGCCUUUGAAGAGGCUCGGAGAAGGACACGCGAAUUUGAAGAUAGAGACAGGUCUCAUCGGGAGGAAAUGGAGAUCUCAAUAUUAAAAGAAUGGAGAUCAACCAGGAAAUUUUCUUCAUUCUGGAUACCCCCUCCUCGUGGCUGUUUCUGCAUAGCUCUGACCAGUAGGGAAAACUCAAGCUGCUGGUGUCUGUUCUUUCGUCUCAUUUGGAGUCAUCUCAUGACUGCCGCCUAGCAACUCUAUUUGCCUUGUUCCUGGGAGAUGAUAUACUGAGAGAAAACAGGAGAGCAACUGGUAGUAAGAGGCAAGAAGACAACAAGACCCUAGUCCUGGUUCCAAUUUAGGUGGUGGUGAUGACCUCAAACUUCGUUAAUUAAUAGCACAGCAGAUGUGUGCUGCCCAUCUUUACAUACACAUUGCUUCUAGUUGGCAGAAAUAAUUGAUUAAAAGACCAGAAACUGUGAUAACUGGAGGUACUACGGUCUAUUUCUCAACCUUAGGCAGUAAUAGACAUCACAAACUGCCAUGGUUUUGCACUAUGAUUAUAAUACCUGCAUUUCUAAUUUUUUAAGCAUGUAGCCAGUAAUAAUUUGAAGUUUUUUUUCUAUGCAAGCUUACCUUGUUGGCAUUAUUUUAGGGAGUUGAAACUAUCAACUGUAAAGCUCCUUUUCUUCCACUUUAAUUUAAAAGUUCAUGUCAUUUAAAAACAAGUCAAGAAAUUAAAAUUGUAUCAGAGGGUUUUCUCUAAUCAUUUUUUCUAUUUUUUUUUUUGUACUUCUAGAUGUUUUGGUUAUACAGCUUCAUUUUAGAUGAGCAUUCUUAUUUUUUGUUUUGUUUGCCCCAUUUCCUUUUGUGUUUUUAUAGUCUAUAGCAUUUUAAAACUGCUGAUGUUGUUUGCAUUAUUUACAGGCUAAAAACUUAGUAGCAUAGAGCUGUCUGCCACAGCCUUCUGACAAAGUUUACAGUUAUUAAAGUUGCAGUAUCCUUUUAAAUGCUAGUAAUCAGCACUCUUUCUUUUUUUUUUUUUUUUUUUUUUUUUUUUAAAUAGAGACAGGGUCUCGCAGUGUUGCCCAGGCUGGUCUCGAACUCCUGGCAUCAAGCGAUCCUCCUGCCUCAGCCUCCCAGAGUACUGGGAUUACAGGCUCUUUCUUUUUAAACAUAAAAGUUUUAAAUUGGUAUUAACUCUGUACUCUGCCCCAGAUUGUUUUAGCUUCUGUUCUGUAAUCAUGAGUUUGGUUGGAGAUAUUCUCCAUAGAUGAUCUUCUACUGAAAUGCCUAAAGAAGUCACAGGCUGGCUUCUGUUUUAUUCAGGGAUUUUUUUAAAAAGUCAAUCAGAAAAGGGAUACUGGAGCUUCUUCAUGUAUGUAACAGCAUAUUAAACUGGAGACAGUGAUGAAUCAGCUACAAAGGUAAUAUUGUAUUAAAAUCAUGUUUAAGAUAGCUGCUUUUAUGUGUAUUUUAUAUUGCAUGCUUUUGUAAAAACAUGCUGGGUGAUGAAAGAUUAGUUUUAGAGAGAAAAUGUUCAUCUGUGCAGAGGAUGCAUUUUCUUCCAUUAAUUCUGGAAAAAACAUUCACAGUUAUAUAUAUGGUAUUUUGCAAAAGGACUAUUAAUAGAACCUUUUGAGAUGAAUUAAUGUAAGAAUAUUUUUUAAAUAGGCUUACUGUCAAAUUGCAACUUUUUUUUUAGAUACAGACUGGAAAAAAGUGCUAAGUCUUUUGGCACCUCCUUACAAAUAUUUUUCAUGGUCACAUUUAUUAAAUGUUACUACAUUUCUGAAUUUUUGAAAAAUGUAUUUUAUCAUUAAAUGGCAUUAUUUUAAAGGAUGAAAAACUGACACAGUCAAUUCAGAAAAUGGACUGAAGUCUGAAUAAGGUCAUUGCAUUUAAAAAGCAUAUAACUGUACUUGACUGAUGAGGGAGGUGUUACUUUCAUUGUAUAUAGGUCUUAUUUCAUAAACAGAUAUCCUGUAUCGAAUAAAAGUAUUUGUUAUAUAUUUGAAGUUAUGCAUGGAAAGGAGUGUGUUUAAAUUGUUACAAACAAUAAUGCGUCAUUAAAGGCCAUGCUGAUCUUGCAUAACUAUAAGUACUAUGAAUGAAUUUGGUUGGUUUUGGUGUUGUACAGCUCACAUGUUUACACACUCAGUGCCCUAAUUUCCCCUGAGGGAAUCGCUUUUUAAGUGAUCCUUACAGUGGUGUUUUAUGUUACUUUAUUACAGAGCUCCUUGGUUUUUUACUUCUGCACUUAAAUUUUUUUAAAUAACAUGAUGAUGGUACAUUUUCCUCUAUUGUCUAGCUAAGGGCUUUCGGUCCACCAGUAAAUAAGAUCAAAUGCUCUUAAAUGUUCCUGUUACCAUCCUAAUGUAAAUACUGGAUUUUCCUGUCAUUUAGCACCGUGCUGCUUCUGUCUGUCUUAAUGCUGGCAUUAAGAUCAUGAGCCCUUUUUCUCCAGUAGUACAGGCUUUGAAAACUACUUCUAUUAAGUUAUUGAUGCAAUUUGAUAUUUUUUCAUAAUCUAUAUUUAAACAAAAUUACAUCAUUGCAUCAUCUUUUCUAAAUUCAUCUCCAUUAAAACUUGCCUUAAGCUACCAGAUUGCUUUUGCCACCAUUGGCCAUACUGUGUGUUUGUUUGUUUAAUUUACUUUCACAAUAAACUUCUGUGUAGUAAAAA